rnacentral:rRNA from 1 species
GACGAACGCUGGCGGCGUGCCUAAUACAUGCAAGUAGGACGCAGUUGCGAACGGGUGAGUAACGCGUAGGUAACUACCUAUUAGAGGGGGAUAAAUAUUGGAAACGAUAGCUAAUACCGCAUACUAGUAGAUGGACCUGCGUUGUAUUAGGUAGUAGGUAGGGGAAUGGGCUACCUAGGCAACGAUACAUAGCCGACCGGGAAGGGGGAUCGGGCACCCUUGGACUUGGACACGGCCCGUACUCCUACGGGAGGCAGCAGUAGGGAAACUGCGGCAAUGGGGGGAACGCUGACCGAGCAACGCCGCGUGAGUGAAGAAGGUUUUCGGAUCGUAAAGCUCUGUUGUUAAGGAAGCGGUACUUAACCAGAAAGGGACGGCUAACUACGUGCCAGCAGCCGCGGUAAUUC